AAGAAACCCUAAGAAGUGCCUGAACUGUACCUUUUUGUUUGCUCCUCUGCCCUGCAGAGUUUUGGAGAGAAACUUUGGAUGCUGGUGGAUCGGUGAGAAAAAGCACUUAUUUUACCCCUGACCUGAGCACUGAAGAGAUACCCUCUCACCACUGUUGCAAAUUCAUGCUUCCAAGAACUGGUGAGUUGAAGAACUUAUCCAUUGUGUCUCCAUUAAAGAAGAUAUAUUGUAAAACAUAACU
rnacentral:lncRNA from 1 species